rnacentral:rRNA from 1 species
CCUACGGGCGGCAGCAGUGAGGAAUAUUGGUCAAUGGGCGCGAGCCUGAACCAGCCAAGUCGCGUGAGGGAGGACGGCCCUACGGGUUGUAAACCUCUUUUGCCGGGGAGCAAGGGGCGUCACGUGUGGCGCCACUGAGAGUACCCGGAGACAAAGCAUCGGCUAACUCCGUGCCAGCAGCCGCGGUAAUACGGAGGAUGCGAGCGUUAUUCGGGUUUAUUGGGUGUAAAGGGUGCGUAGGCGGAUCGUUAAGUGAGUGGUAAAAUUGAGGGGCUAAACCCCUUCCCGCCAUUGAAACUGGCGCUCUUGAGUGGAAGAGAGGUAUGCGGAAUGCGUGGUGUAGCGGUGAAAUGCAUAGAUAUCACGCAGAACCCCGAUUGCGAAGGCAGCAUGCCGGCUUCCGACUGACGCUGAAGCACGAAAGCGUGGGGAUCGAACAGGAUUAGAUACCCGUGUAGUC